rnacentral:rRNA from 1 species
AUUGAACGCUGGCGGCAUGCCUUACACAUGCAAGUCGAACGGUAACGGGCCUUCGGGUGCCGACGAGUGGCGCACGGGUGAGUAAUACAUCGGAACGUGCCCGAUCGUGGGGGAUAACGAGGCGAAAGCUUUGCUAAUACCGCAUACGAUCUACGGAUGAAAGCAGGGGACCGCAAGGCCUUGCGCGGACGGAGCGGCCGAUGGCAGAUUAGGUAGUUGGUGGGAUAAAAGCUUACCAAGCCGACGAUCUGUAGCUGGUCUGAGAGGAUGAUCAGCCACACUGGGACUGAGACACGGCCCAGACUCCUACGGGAGGCAGCAGUGGGGAAUUUUGGACAAUGGGCGCAAGCCUGAUCCAGCCAUGCCGCGUGCAGGAUGAAGGCCUUCGGGUUGUAAACUGCUUUUGUACGGAACGAAAAGCCUUCCUUUAAUACAGGAGGGUCAUGACGGUACCGUAAGAAUAAGCACCGGCUAACUACGUG